rnacentral:rRNA from 1 species
GAUGAACGCUGGCGGCGUGCCUAAUACAUGCAAGUCGAGCGAACGGACGAGAAGCUUGCUUCUCUGAUGUUAGCGGCGGACGGGUGAGUAACACGUGGAUAACCUACCUAUAAGACUGGGAUAACUUCGGGAAACCGGAGCUAAUACCGGAUAAUAUUUUGAACCGCAUGGUUCAAAAGUAAAAGACGGUCUUGCUGUCACUUAUAGAUGGAUCCGCGCUGCAUUAGCUAGUUGGUAAGGUAACGGCUUACCAAGGCAACGAUGCAUAGCCGACCUGAGAGGGGGGGGGCCCCCACUAGAACUGAGACAGGGUCCGGCCCCCUACGGGAGGAACCAUAGGGAAAUCUCCCGCAAUGGCGGAAGCCCUGCAGGAGCACCCCCGCGUGAGUAAGAAAGGUCUUCGGACCUAAAAACUUUUUUUUGGGGAAAAAACAGUUGUGAAAGAAUCUGUACACACCUGGACGGUCCCUAAUAAAAAGACCACGACUAACUACGUC